UCUUGCGCAGAUUCUGUCCUUUAUUUUGUUCCACUUCAAGCUAAUUCUUUGGAAUUUGUUGGAGUGGUGGUAGAUUUAGUUGAAAGUAAUCUACUAAUUUUAUCAUGAUUUAUGUAGGUGAACAUUGCAUCCAAUUGACACUUGACUAUGUUUAAACAAUGGCCUACCUCUUUUUUGAAUCAUAAGUUUCAAAACUAGGUUAGUUAACCUAUCACAACCACCAAACAUGUGUAGCUUGUGUUAUGGAUCUUGUCCAAUAAAAUAGAACAGAAGGUCGCCUAGUGACCUGAUGCUUGGAAGUCACAGAUCCAAGUAAUGGGUGGAUAGUUAUUAGCCAAUUGCAUUAUAUAUUACUUAGGAAGCAGUUUGCUUCUUGAAAAUUUAAAAAAAAAAAAAAAAAAUGAUGAAAAUUUUCUAGGCAAAAAAGUAUGCAUUUAAAGAAUUCGCUUAUAAAAAGGGUAUGCAUUUAAUGCAUAAACUUCAAAGGUUGAUCUAUACGGUCUUGCUACUGGAAAAAAUGCAAGAGUGGCAGAUGUGUGGGCCGUUGAGGGGAUUUAGGGUCAUUCCUAGAGUGAAAACUAGAGGUGGUGGUUUGUCUUCUGGAGUGUAUUCAUUGUGUGAGUUCAUCAGAGAUUGGAAAGGAUGAAGGCUGUGGGGUUGGUCUACAAUUUUUUUGUGCUCUAGGUGGUUGGUUCAGUUUCCUGCCAAAGACAUUUGGGGAUGUUCUGUGAUAAACAGAUGUAGCCUUUCUUAAAAUGGUGAGGAGACAGCAAAUCAUAUACCUUAUUCUCUAUCCUGGUUUGAGCGAUCAAGGAUCUUCUGUUGGAUUGGUGUGCUUAUGGUUGGGAUGAGCAGUGGAGGAAGGUGUGGCGAAUUACUCUUGCUUGCUUGUUUUAGUGUCACUAGAGGAGCUUUUUGUCUUUGUUUUAAAUGAGGAGGAGCUUUUUGAUCAGAUAUUGAAGGAGCUUUCUUUUUAUUAUUAUUUGCCACUUACAUACUUUCCUUUUCUCUUUAGCAAUUGCUGUAAGUAUUCCUACCAGCAACUUGAAUCUCAUGAAAGGCUAUUUUAUGUUUGUCUCAACCACAGUUCUUUUCCUCUUAUGAUUGAGCUAAGAUUAGCUCACAUUUUGUUUUUCAUAGGAAACUAAAUCUCCCUACUUGUAUUUGUGCGUACUUAUAGUUCUGUCACUGUAACAAAAUCUCAUGCUGAGUGAAAUAUUUUUAGUUAGUUUA